UCUAGAGAUUUCUAAGCUGGAAACUUUUUAGUUCUGAGAGAAAUCCAUUUUCUUUUAUUAUUACACUCUUGGCCAAUGGACCAUUUCCAGACAUUGACAAUUUUGUAUGUAUAAACGCUUUCCUUAUAUUAUUUUGUGCCUAAAAGUUUCUGGGUACCCUUGUUAAACCACCCAAUAUUUCAUUUUUAACAUGUUCAAAGUUGAAAAACUGACAGAUUAUUUUGCUCACAAAUAUUACUUACAGAGCUUUUUUUCAACAAACGAAUACAGAAAAUGUCAUCUCAAAAUGUCUUCACAUUUAAAGAAAAGGUGAAAACCAUAAUUAUGAAGCCUAUUUUUUGAUGCAAACGUUAAAGAAAAAAUGGAAAUCAUGGAAACAAAGAUGUUUAAUCUGAAUUUGGAAAUAUCAAUGAUGGAUUAAAGUAUAAGAAUGAAGAUCGGCAAAAGCGUCUAAUCACCACGACCAUUACCUUUAGAAGGAAUAUUCAAGAAACUAUUUUUAGGAUGUAAAAUAAUUUAUAGAAACUGAC